rnacentral:rRNA from 1 species
UACAGAGGUCUCAAGCGUUGUUCGGAUUCAUUGGGCGUAAAGGGUGCGUAGGUGGCGGGGUAAGUCGGAUGUGAAAUCCCGGGGCUCAACCUCGGAACUGCAUUCGAUACUGCUUUGCUUGAGUACUGGAGAGGAGAUUGGAAUUUACGGUGUAGCAGUGAAAUGCGUAGAUAUCGUAAGGAAGACCAGUGGCGAAGGCGGAUCUCUGGACAGUUACUGACACUGAGCACGAAGGCCAGGGGAGCAAACGGG